GGAGAAUUAGCUCAGCUGGUAGAGCAUCUGACUUACAAGCAGAGGGUCGGCGGUUCGAACCCGUCAUUCUCCACCA
rnacentral:tRNA from 1 species